rnacentral:misc_RNA from 1 species
CGGGUUAACGGGUCCUCCAACACGGUUCGGGUCAUGAUCACCGGAUUCAUCAGCAAACGUACGCCACUCAGACGUCUCAUCUAUUGACCUCGAUUCCAGUACAAGUCCACACUCCGAACAAACUGUAUCACCGGCGGCAUGGUCAAAUACCACCUCCGUGUUCCGUUUGCAGUCCGAACAGUACAAGUCACCCAUCCCACCUGACCUGACCCGACCCGAAUUAUGUGAAGCCGAAAUUGAGAAAAUUGACUUGAG